ensembl:lncRNA
GUUAAAGUCGAAACCAAUUGAUCAUCGAUAUUCUCACGUUUAUCGCAUCUGUGGUCUUUCCAUGACUGUUUUCGACACAGUCGUACAUAGUACGCCAUCGUUUAAUCGAAUAAUAUUGCUGUUAAUGUGUGGUUUGUGUAUAUGUAUAAAUAUAGCGUGUUAAAAUAAUUCUCCAUCCAUCCAGCCAUCCAUCAGUGAUUCGGUGUUCGUCUGUGUAUGUCUGUGUGUAACAUGACAUUUGAAAGUAGCUACUAGUUUAUUUUGCCACAUUAACACAGUAAACAGAUACCGAUUUUAUGUUAACAUGCAUGAAGCGCACAUUCAUGUGGCAUCACGUGACGUAGUUUUGUAUGUUAUGUAUCAUGUACUUCCGGUGAGGUUUUGUAACAAUGAUUGUGCGCUUAUGUAAUUAUUCACAGCUGCACAAUAAAGACUGGGUUUGUUCGUUAACUGCAGCGGAUCUCAUUAUUUACAUUAGUAUAAGUCAGGGCCCGACCACAAUAUAUAUGACUGAGGUCAGGCGAGCCAUCUCUGAAGCGCUGUGGGGAAUGUGUGCAGCGGAUGCCAUGUCGAUGCCCGUCCACUGGUACUACAACACACAAGAAAUCAGGAGGGACUUCAGUGGCUGGAUCACUGGAUUCACUGCACCGCGGUGCAGACACCCGUCCAGCAUCCUAAGCCUGUCCAGCACAGCUGGCAGUGGACGCAGAGCCGGAUCAACCGGAACCGCAGCUCCUGUGGUGGGGAACGUGAUUCUGCAUGAUAAGCUGAAGUUCUGGACGGAUCCACGUGGAUCAGUGCACUACCAUCAGGGUCUUCACGCGGGUGGAAACACGCUGAACACUCUCUGUGCUCUGAGAGUUGCACGCAUUCUGUCCACUGGUGCUUUUGUUAGUAUGGCUGAUCCUGAAGCACGAGCCGCUGUACUGUCGGAUUACAUAGAGUUCAUGACGCGUCCCGGCGCACACAACGACACAUACGCCGAGUCUUUCCAUAGAAGCUUCUUCUCUGACUGGCAGGAACUCAGACCUACGUCCUCUAGAGAGGUUCUGGAGUUUGCGGAGCAGCGCUCCAAAUGCAUGUUGAGCACAUCCCGUGCUGAUAGCCAGCUGAAUGCUAUAGGAUGUCUUCCCAUGGCCAUUCCCUUUGUCCUGCUGUCUGCCACAGCCAAUGAGGAGAAAGCAGUUUCUGCAGCGGUGGAGUUUGUAAAGCUCACUCAUCCUCAUCCAGCACUGGAGCCGCUGGUGUCUCUGUACAUGCGAGCGCUUCACGCCACACUGAACGGAGCAUGUCUGAAACAACAGGCGGAGAUGGCGCUCAAAUCACCCGUGCUGGACACCUGGGACGUGUGUCAACACUUUAUACAGUGUGCAGAGAGGUCAGCAACUCAUAUUACACCACAAAAAACAUUAGAAAAAACAAUGACCUAUUUAUUACAAACAGAAAACUUUAGGACCAUUAAGACCUUAUGCAUUGUGAUAUUAUUCUCAUGA